AUGGCCUACCCUGUUACUGAACUAAAGAUGACUAUUGAUGUUUCUGGAUAUUUUGCAGUUCGGUCCGUGCCGUGGCGGAGGGUUGUCUUGUGGUUUGACCGGAGCGGGGGCACACCAGAGAAGCGAUCUCGUCCCCAUUGGUACAAUUUUGUCGACUUAUCUAGCAUUUUCUCGGCCGUGUGGAACCAGCACAUCUACCUGCGAAUCUCCAGGCUAUGGUAUCAGCGGGGUUCCUUCGAUGAGGGCCCUAUCAAGAGUAUACAUGUGUGCUCUUCUAUAGGGAAAUCAUGCCAACAAGAUGGUGCCUAA
rnacentral:rRNA from 1 species